UGGUUGUCGUCAGCUCGUGCCGUGAGGUGUCGGGUUAAGUCCCAGUAACGAGCGCAACCCCUGCAUUCAGUUGCCAUCGGGUAAUGCCGGGCACUCUGGAAGGACUGCCAUCGACAAGAUGGAGGAAGGUGGGGAUGACGUCAAGUCAUCAUGGCCCUUAUGUCCAGGGCGACACACGUGCUACAAUGGCCGGCACAACGGGAAGCGAGUUCGCGAGGACGAGCGGAUCCCUCAAAGCCGGUCGCAGUUCGGAUUGAAGUCUGCAACUCGACUUCAUAAAGCUGGAAUCGCUAGUAAUCGUGGAUCAGCCAAGCCGCGGUGAAUACGUUCCCGGGCCUU
rnacentral:rRNA from 1 species